rnacentral:ncRNA from 2 species
UGGACGGCGCCGGGGUGCCCUACUGGAGGGCUGAGAUCACACCCGCAAUACCUGAUCUAGGUCGUGCUAGCGAAGGGAGCCCUGUGAACCAGGUC